rnacentral:rRNA from 1 species
CAGUCGCCGCGGGAAUACGUAGGGUGCGAGCGUUAAUCGGAAUUACUGGGCGUAAAGCGUGCGCAGGCGGUUAUAUAAGACAGAUGUGAAAUCCCCGGGCUCAACCUGGGAACUGCAUUUGUGACUGGCGAGCUAGAGUAUGGCAGAGGGGGGUAGAAUUCCACGUGUAGCAGUGAAAUGCGUAGAGAUGUGGAGGAAUACCGAUGGCGAAGGCAGCCCCCUGGGCCAAUACUGACGCUCAUGCACGAAAGCGUGGGGAGCAAACAGGAUUAGAUACCCCUGUAGUCCCUGUCUCUUAUAC